GUGCAUUUGUUUAUGUUUCUGAAAUGUCUCCUCCCCGUUCUGUCAUUGGCUAUUGUUUCAUGUGUGUCUGAAUCGCCCUCAGCCGUCAGCCAUUACGAGGCUGAUUAUGUUUGUACAUAUACCGCGCGCCUCCCAGCACAUGGCGCGGAAUAUUGAAUGAGUUACUCACUUAGUUUAGAGUCCUCACAAUAGAUAACCAUAGUCUAAGUUUAGGUUCAUGUUUAGGUUCAUGUUUAGGUUCAUGUUUAGGUUCAUGUUUGGGUUCGUUAGUUUAGUUCACGCUGGUUUCUCCGCUACCAGUCCCGCGCUAUUGUUCAUGUUUCUUGUUUUGUUCCUCGACCCUGUAUUUCCGUGACCGCGACCUAGAUUCCUGCCUCGCCCCUUUAUGCCUGUUUGCCGAUCGCCUGAACUUUG
ensembl:lncRNA